AGAUGUCAGUUCCCAGUCUGUAUGAUGCCCAUCCAAUGAAUAAUUUCUCAAGAGGAAGAAGCUUUGAUGAUUCUGACCCAUACUUUAUUGAUGCUCCUUUAGAUGAGACUGAGGCAAAAACCUCAAGAAAAACAGUUCAAGACCACAAAAUUCUGAAAAAGAGCUGGUUUUAACAGGUUAGACGAUGAUAGAAAGAACUUUGUGAAUUCAGAUGUCUGAUUAUUCUCACUAGUCUUGAUCAGAUGGUGUUUUAUGGAUUCUUGAUGCUGUACUAAACGAAGAAGUGUCAAAUGAUGAGGUAUAUCAUGAAACUGUAGAGCCUAUCAUUCCCAUAAUUUUCCAACGUACGAAAGCUACUUGCUUUGCUUAUGGGCAAACAGGAAGUGGCAAAACAUAUACAAUGAAGCCACUGCCCCUUAGAGCAGUGAGAGACAUCUUGAGGCUCAUUCAUCAUACCUACAGGAACCAAGGCUUGCAGUUGUUUGUCAGCUUCUUUGAGAUAUAUGGGGGGAAACUCUUCGAUCUGCUCAGUGAUAGGAAGUAAGCUGUUUUCUGGGUUUUUUGUUGGCUUUCACCCUCCAGUGCAAUCUCAACUAGUUCUUGAGGACUUGGUGCUAGAACACAUAAUAUGAUAGAUUUUUGUUUUAGCUAUAAGAUAGUUGGUACUUUCAAUUUUGAAUCGAAAUAUGCAAUGAUCAUAUGUACUUGAUACUUGGUUCAUUUGGAUGGUAAUGUAUGAAUAUUUUGGAUGAUAUAUAAUAUUGUUAUUGGUGAUUUUAUCAUUUUGUUGUUUUAAAGUUAUUUAUUUAUUUCUUGAGAUAAAUAACAUAAAAAUCGAGAAAAAAUAUUAAAUAUGCUAGUUGUAGUUGAAAUACAUAACAGUAUAAAAAGUACAAAAAAAUCGUUA